GUGCUCACUUCGGCAGCAGCACAUAUGUAAAAUUGGAAUGAUACAGAGAAGAUUAGCGUGGCCCCUGCACAGGAUGACACGCAAAUUUAUGAAGCGUUCUAUAAAAAA